AUAGAAGUAAUUAUUAUUCUAAGAGUAAUUAUAAGAAAAGUGAUGAGGUGACACAGAAUGACAAGACCAGGCAUAACCAAGUUGUUUAAUGGAUUCAAGUGGAAAAAAUAAGCUGAAAUUCAUAAGUUUCAACUGUAAAUCUGUGACUCGGUCGGUGGACGGCAUCAGGGAUUUAUGUCAAAACGCAGAUAUAGUGGCACUUCAAGAAACUUGGUUGAUGCCACAUGAUAUUCCGUUCCUGGGCAGUAUUCACGAAGAUUUUGAAUACACGGGAAAGUCUGCAGUGGAUACUAGUGCGGGUAUUGUGCGAGGUAGGCCGUAUGGUGGUGUCGCUAUUCUCUGGCGUAAAAGCUUAUGUCCAUCUGUGUCAGUGAUUCAGUGUAAAAGCGAUCGUCUAGCGGCCAUAAAAUUAGUGUUACCUGAGCAUUCGCUUCUAGUGUUUUCGGUAUAUAUGCCUACGGACUCGGCUGAAAAUCUUAUUGAGUAUACCGAAUGCCUAGGUGAGAUUGCUGCUAUUGUGGAGGAUGCUGCUGGGGCUGCCGCGUUUUUGUAGCGCAUCAGGCAUGUUUGCGGAAGCGCGAAUAGAUGAUUUUCCAUCUAUAAUUCGUAAACGAGUGGCGUCUCUGAUGUGCCGUGUGAGUGGCAGUGCGAGCAGCAUUCUGCAAGUUGUCGCUCAAAGAAUGGACGGUUCGAUUCUCAAGCAUUGGAUCUCAUCUCAUGUUAUGGCGUCGAACCGCUGUGCUAAGUAGUUUUAAUUUAUAAUUAAAAUAUGGGAUAUGGUUGAACAUAAAUUUUUAAUUAAU